UGGGGAAUAUUGGACAAUGGGCGCAAGCCUGAUCCAGCCAUGCCGCGUGAGUGAUGAAGGCCUUAGGGUUGUAAAGCUCUUUUAUCCGGGACGAUAAUGACGGUACCGGAGGAAUAAGCCCCGGCUAACUUCGUGCCAGCAGCCGCGGUAAUACGAAGGGGGCUAGCGUUGCUCGGAAUCACUGGGCGUAAAGGGCGCGUAGGCGGCGUUUUAAGUUGGGGGUGAAAGCCUGUGGCUCAACCACAGAAUUGCCUUCGAUACUGGGACGCUUGAGUGUGGUAGAGGUUGGUGGAACUGCGAGUGUAGAGGUGAAAUUCGUAGAUAUUCGCAAGAACACCGGUGGCGAAGGCGGCCAACUGGACCAUCACUGACGCUGAGGCGCGAAAGCGUGGGGAGCAAACAGGAUUAGAUACCCUGGUAGUCCACGCUGUAAACGAUGAAUGCCAGCCGUUGGGGGGCUUGCCUUUCAGUGGCGCAGCUAACGCUUUGAGCAUU
rnacentral:rRNA from 1 species